ACUUAGUUAUUGUUGCGCUAGGUUGUAAGAAUUCCUUGAGCAAUAGUAACUUAGGUC
rnacentral:pre_miRNA from 1 species